ensembl:rRNA 5S_rRNA 5S ribosomal RNA
AUCCAUGGACAUAACCACCCUGAACAUGCCUGAUCUCAGAAGCUAAGCAGGGGUGGUCCUGGUUAGUACUUGGAUAGGAGAAUCGAAAAACCCAAUUCUUUAUUACUG